GGUUAUGUUCAGGCGUUCAGCCCAUGUAGGUGGUAGCCUACACGAAGAGUUCCUUGUAAUCCCUUCUCUUUAGCCGCGUUUCGGUUAAGAACACUUGCAUCUCUCCUGCUGUGGAGCAACGUAUUUAUUUGCCGGUGACAAAUCGAUUGACCGGACGCAGCCCUCAACUGAUGUCUGUGAGUGCCAGAUGUCGGUCCUCAGAGCCGAACCCGCAGCCUAGGAGCACUGAGAAAUAGACAUCAAGAUUGUAAAAAUUGUAAAUGUUCUUUGCCGUUGAUGAAUAAAUACAUGCAACAUGUGAAGAACAGAGCUCUCAGGAAUAUAUAUACCUUAAAUAGAAUACCAAAAGUAACGGAGAGCAAUUUCAGAUACCAUUGUGAACAAAUUUGGGAAAGAUGAACGCUGACACUGAGUCUUCACUAAAAUGUUAUAUUUGUGGCAAAGUGUUCAAACAAAAAAGCUAUCGCGAUCGUCAUAUGCAAUGUAUUCAUAAGCAAAAUUGUAAAGGAGAGCCAUUGCUUGAAGUCAAUUAUACUUGCUAUUUGUGUGAUAAAAAACUCAGAAACAAGAGAAAUUUACAAGUUCAUUUGAAUGCAGUUCACUCACAACAGGAUGAUUUUAAUUUACUUAAAUGUGACAAAUGCAACUACAGCACUGCAUACAAGUCAAAUCUUAGAAGGCAUCAGUCAAAACAUAGAAAUCACAAACCACAACAACUAUUGAAUUGUUCCGAAUGCAAUGCCAUAUAUAGUACUUUGACAGCUUUAAGGUUGCAUGAAAAAAAAACUCACAAAGCUGCAAAAAUAGAACGAGCAGCUAUACAAAGGAAAUGCCCAAUGUGCCCGUUUCUUUCUUUUUCUACCACGCGGAAUGAAAUGAAUAAACAUCUGGAAAACAAACACGAAUUGACCUUAUGUAAGAAACAGUACUAUUUUGAGUCAAUUGAAGCAUUUCAUGAAUGGAGACUGAAAGCUGCAAAAGAAUCAAAAUGUGCGUAUCAGUUACGAAAUAGAAGUAAUAACAGAUUGUAUUAUGCUUGUAAUAGGAGUGGUUUUUAUAAAUCUAGAGGUUUAAACAAACGGAAGAGACCGGUUUCGUGCAAAAUGGAUGCUUACUGUCCUGCUAAUAUUAAAUGUUUCAUUGAUACAAGUGGUGGAGUAAAUGUAGAGUAUAUGCCUCUUCAUGUAGGUCAUAAUAAUGAACUGAAGCAUAAAAGGUUGACUACCGAAGUUAAAAAGUUUAUUGAAAAAAAAUUAGCUUCUAAAACUCCCCACUAUGAUGUAUUUCAAAUGGUCCGAAGUACCUUAACCGACCAAGAGCUGCAAAGAUUGCAUCUAUUAACAAUAGAAGACUUCGCCAAUAUUGAAAGGGAUUUUAACCUAACGUCUGAGGUGCAGAAACAACCCUUUGAUCCAGUAGGUGUUGAAUGCUGGUAUCGUCAACUGAAGGACUCAAAAGAUACAGCUUGUAUGUUUUAUAAACCACAAGGGGAAAUAUUGAAUGACUAUCCCGAAUUAAAAAAAGACGAUUUUGUUCUGAUUUAUAUGUCAGAAAAUCAAAAGGUGUUGCUUGAUAAAUAUAAGAAAGAUACCAUAUGUAUAGACGGUACGCACGGUACCAAUAAGCUGAAUUUUCAGCUCUAUACUAUUUUAAUUUUAGACAUCAGCCAAGAAGGGUUUCCAAUUGCUUUUAUGUUUAGUAAUAGGGAAGAUGACAACAUAAUGUCUUUAUUUUUCCAAAAAAUAAAAGAUGUAGUAGGUGUUGUACAUACAAAUGUUUUUAUGUCUGAUAUCAAAGAAACCUUUUACAAUGCCUGGGUUAAGGUCAUGGGUCCAGUGCAAUUAAGGUUAUUUUGUACAUGGCAUGUCCUGAAAGCGUGGCGAAACAAUUUAAAGAAAAUACGGUCAAAAGAAAAGAAAGAUGCCACUUUUAAAAUUUUGCAAACUUUGCUACAAGAAAGAGACAUAAAUACUUUUCAUACCCUACUGGAAGGAGCCUUAAAACAGUUGGAUAGUGAACAACAUACUUCUGCCUUCAGCAACUAUUUCAAUGAUUAUUUCGUAAAAAACCACCGUUUUAAACUUUGGGCGUAUUGCUACCGCAUGAGUGCUGGCAUAAAUACUAAUAUGUCAAUAGAGAGCUUCAAUAAAGUUUUGAAGUAUUUUUAUCUGGAAGGAAAGAAAGUGCAAAGUUUGGAUGAAACCUUAUGUGCUUUAAUAAACUUUAUUAGAGACAAACUUUUUGACUGCUUAAUAAAACUGGAAAAGAGUAAAGUAGUUACAAAACUACAAAUUCUACGUAGACGCCAUAUAGAGAGCUAUGAAAUUGCUGACUGUAACAUGAUUACAUUGGAAAAUGAAUGGCAAGUGUUAUCUUCCAAAGCACAAGAAUUUUAUUCAGUAAAGAAAGUUAAAAAUUGCAACUGUUGUGUACUUUUGUGCCCACAUUGUAAUUCCUGUUUUCAUGAAUACAUCUGUUCGUGUAUGGAUAAUAGUAUCAAAAACAACAUGUGCAUACAUAUCCAUUUGGUGGCUCGCUCACUCUGUAACAAAACUGAAGAAUCUUCUAUAGAAAUUUAUGAUUGUGAGGUUGUGGAAAUGGACAUUGAUGAUUAUAUGUACUCGGAAGAGCAAAUACUAAAAGAAAUUACAUGUGACAUAAACAACACUCCUAAUGAUCAGGCUCGCACGAAGAGAAUUUGUGAAAAAAUUGACUUUGUGAUUGAAUAUAUGAAAAGAAAAACAACUACUUCAGACCAAAAAAAUUAUAUUGAUAAACAUUUGACACAAAUGUUAACUACAUUAAAUGCAAUGGCCACUAAUGCGCAGAUACCAGUUAAGGAAGAAGAGUGCAACAGAAAGCAACCAGACAGUAGUAAUGCUACUAAAUAGAGAUGUUUUCUUUUCACCAUAAAGAACCAAAACCUUUACCGUGGAGAAAAAGAUAAGAAGUUUCUCUGGAAUUAAGUCUGGAGUGGCAAUGGGAGACUUCAAUAAAUUAGUGUAAAUAGACAUCAAGAUUGUAAAAAUUGUAAAUGUUCUUUGCCGUUGAUGAAAAAAUACAUGCAACAUGUGAAGAACAGAGCUCUCAGGAAUAUAUAUACCUCAAAUAGAAUACCAAAAGUAACGGAGAGCAAUUUCAGAUACCAUUGCGAACAAAUUUGGGAAAGAUGAACGCUGACACUGAAUCUUCACUGAAAUGUUAUAUUUGUGGCAAAGUGUUCAAACAAAAAAGCUAUCGCGAUCGUCAUAUGCAAUAUGUUCAUAAGCAAAAUUGUAAAGGAGAGCCAUUGCUUGAAGUCAAUUAUACUUGCUAUUUGUGUGAUAAAAAAUUUUAUAACAAUACAAAUUUAAAAGUUCAUUUGAAUGCAGUUCACUUACAACAGGAUGAUUUUAAUUUACUUAAAUGUGACAAAUGCAACUACAGCACUGCAUACAAGUCAAAUCUUAGAAGGCAUCAGUCAACACAUACAAAUCACAAACCACAAACGCUAUUGAAUUGUUCAGAAUGCAAUGCCAUAUAUAGUACUUUGACAGCUUUAAGGUUGCAUGAAAAAAAAACUCACAAAGCUGCAAAAAUAGAACGAGCAGUUAUACAAAGGAAAUGCCCAAUGUGCCCGUUUCUUUCUUUUUCUACCAAGCGGAAUGAAAUGAAUAAACAUCUGGAAAACAAACACGAAUUGACCUUAUGUAAGAAACAGUACUCUUUUGUGUCAAUUGAAGCAUUUCAUGAAUGGAGACUGAAGGCUGCAAAAGAAUCAAAAUGUGCGUAUCAGUUACGAAAUAGAAGUAAUAACAGAUUGUAUUAUGCUUGUAAUAGGAGUGGUUUUUAUAAAUCUAGAGGUUUAAAUAAACGGAAGAGACCGGUUUCGUGCAAAAUGAAUGCUUACUGUCCUGCUAAUAUUAAAUGUUUCAUCGAUACAAAUGGUGGAGUAAAUGUAGAGUAUAUGCCUCUUCAUGUUGGUCAUAAUAAUGAACUGAAGCAUAAAAGGUUGACUACCGAAGUUAAAAAGUUUAUUGAAAAAAAAUUAGCUUCUAAAACUCCCCACUAUGAUGUAUUUCAAAUGGUCAGAAGUACCUUAACCGACCAAGAGCUGCAAAGAUUGCAUCUAUUAACAAGAGAAGAGAUCGCCAAUAUUGAAAGGGAUUUUAACCUAACGUCUGAGGUGCAGAAACAACCCUUUGACCCAGUAGGUGUUGAAUGCUGGUAUCGUCAACUGAAGGACUCAAAAGAUACAGCUUGUGUGUUUUAUAAACCACAAGGGGAAAUAUUGAAUGACUAUCCCGAAUUAAAAAAAGGCGAUUUUGUUCUGAUUUAUAUGUCAGAAAAUCAAAAGGUGUUGCUUGAUAAAUAUAAGAAAGAUACCAUAUGUAUAGACGGUACGCACGGUACCAAUAAGCUGAAUUUUCAGCUCUAUACUAUUUUAACUUUAGACAUCAGCCGAGAAGGGUUUCCAAUUGCUUUUAUGUUUAGUAAUAGGGGAGAUGACAACAUAAUGUCUUUAUUUUUCCAAAAAAUAAAAGAUGUAGUAGGUGUUGUACAUACAAAUGUUUUUAUGUCUGAUAUCGAAGAAACCUUUUACAAUGCCUGGGUUAAGGUCAUGGGUCCAGUGCAAUUAAGGUUAUUUUGUACAUGGCAUGUCCUGAAAGCGUGGCGAAAGAAUUUAAACAAAAUACGAUCAAAAGAAAAGAAAGAUGCCACUUUUAAAAUUUUGCAAACUUUGCUACAAGAAAGAGACAUAAAUACUUUUCAUACCCUACUGGAAGGAGCCUUAAAACAGUUGGAUAGUGAACAAGAUACUUCUGCCUUCAGCAACUAUUUCAAUGAUUAUUUCGUAAAAAACCACCGUUUUAAACUUUGGGCGUAUUGCUACCGCAUGAGUGCUGGCAUAAAUACUAAUAUGUCAAUAGAGAGCUUCAAUAAAGUUUUGAAGUAUUUUUAUCUGGAAGGAAAGAAAGUGCAAAGUUUGGAUGAAACCUUAUGUGCUUUAAUAAACUUUAUUAGAGACAAACUUUUUGACUGCUUAAUAAAACUGGAAAAGAGUAAAGUAGUUACAAAACUACAAAUUCUACGUAGACGCCAUAUAGAGAGCUAUGAAAUUGCUGACUGUAACAUGAUUACAUUGGAAAAUGAAUGGCAAGUGUUAUCUUCCAAAGCACAAGAAUUUUAUUCAGUAAAGAAAGUUAAAAAUUGCAACUGUUGUGUACUUUUGUGCCCACAUUGUAAUUCCUGUUUUCAUGAAUACAUCUGUUCGUGUAUGGACAAUAGUAUAAAAAACAACAUGUGCAAGCAUAUCCAUUUGGUGGCUCGCUCACUCUGUAACAAAACUGAAGAAUCUUCUAUUGAAAUUUAUGAUUGUGAGGUUGUGGAAAUGGACAUUGAUGAUUAUAUGUACUCUGAAGAGCAAAUACUAAAAGAAAUUUCAUGUGACAUAAACAACACUCCUAAUGAUGAGGCUCGCACAAAGAGAAUUUGUGAAAAAAUUGACUAUGUGAUUGAAUAUAUGAAAAGAAAAACAACUACUUCAGACCAAAAAAAUUAUAUUGAUAAACAUUUGACACAAAUGUUAACUACAUUAAAUGCAAUGGCUACUAAUGCGCAGAUACCAGUUAAGGAAGAAGAGUGCAACAGAAAGCAACCAGACAGUAGUAAUACUACUAAAUAGAGAUGUUUUCUUUUCACCAUAAAGAACCAAAACCUUUACCGUGGAGAAAAAGAUAAGAAGUUUCUCUGGAAUUAAGUCUCUGGAGUGGCAAUGGGAGACUUCAAUAAAUUAGUCUAAAUGUGACAAAUCGAUUGACCAGACUCAGCCCUCAACUGUUGUCUGUGAGUGCCAGAUGUCAGUCCUCAGAGCCGAACCCGCAGCCUAGGAGCACUGAGAAAUCCAUUAACCAAGUUUCUCUGCUGGGUCGAGUGGGCGGUGAACCACAGAAGCGAGGCAAUGA